UGACACAGAUACCUGCCUGUGGGAAUUGGAAGUGCUCUCCAAGAAUUGUGAUGCCUUGUAGCUGACAAGUCCUUGAUCUGAGGAAAGAAGCCAGGAUCUGCAUUGACUUGCAAGACCAUGCAGCAAGCAGCAAAAAAAUCGAUUCUCACUGAGUCAGGAGCACCCAGACAGACUUCUGGGAUCAGCACCCCACCAACAGUCACCUCCUUCUCAUAAACACACAGAGCCCCAGAAAGAAACUGAGCAAAUAUUUCCUAUGGUAAGAAUGGUGAAGUCUCUUUGGAAGAAGUCAGAGUAUUGCACACAGAAAAACAGCCGGCAGCCUCCAAUUCCUGUUUAUCCUGUUAGGCUCACAUUUUGGUAUUCCUGUUUUACACUAAACUUGGAUGUUGGAUUACGUCCCUCAGCUGCAACUUUCCGGGCCCUCAGAAUUGCAGAGAAGACCUGAAGAGCCUUGGGAGGAGGUGCUACAGGUGGAUGAUUCCUGAAAUCUUCUGAAGCUCAGCUCCAGAGCCUUAGCUUGCAGUUGGUCCUGAAGUCACUCAGAUCUUCUGGGCUUUGAAAAUGGGGUUCAAUACCUCAUGAUAUCUAAUACCUACAGAUAAUCUUUUCAAGAAAAUGAUAUCAAGACUUCUACAGAAUAUCAGGCAGAUUGUUUAUUUCCAAGACAGCAUAAAUCACCAAGUGUCACUGAGAAAUUGAGCAGAAAAACACAAUUCCAAUUUUGGCCAGAAGGAAGCAUCAGGGACAGCACUGCAAGAGAUCUUCCAAAGCACACAAAGUUUUCUAUGAAUUGAGAAAUUAAGAUAAUGAGGGUCACAGAAAUAAAUCCAGUGCCAGUGCUUUGGCCUGACAACAAAUGAACCCUUGACUCUUCAGGACAUGCCUCUGAAGCACCCAGUGUUGGAGGAAACGUGGAAUAUUUGAAGCCUCACUGAUUGCAUACAAGAAGAUAGCAGAGAAGAGACCAUCACAUGCCUUAGGAAAAAUGGUAUCAUUAAACAUAGCCAUGUUUUCUUUUAGAAGAAGAUACACAAGUCCCAAGAGAGACUGCUGGCAACUUGCAUGCAGCUAUGACAGAUUGCUGUAACAGUUCAUAUUCCACCGGAACCGCUCCGUCGCUUUCAAUUCCGCCUGUUCCUGCCGCUUUCGGCUCUUAAACACGGUCAUUGUCAGGCGUCGAGCUGAGGAAAAGCUGAGGCAAGACACCAUCACCACCCCCACCACCUCCACUGACUGCUCCUGUCCCCUUUUCCCUCCCCCGCCUUCCCCGCGGACCGUACCCUAAAAGUGACGCGACUUCUUGCAGCAAGGGGUGAAAAGUCCCUUCUGUCCUUGUCACCUGCACGGAGCGGGGAGCUGUCCGUGCGAGUCCUUCGGGGUUAGCCACUCCUGGUACUCGGCUUUUUCACGAUUGAGAUGUUUGAAAUGCCGCCUUCUAAGCACAAACCCAAAGUCUGUGGGGCUGCCAGCCCACCCGAGGGCCGGCGUGCCGUGCUCAUGCGGGGUUUGAGCGCUCUGGGUUUUGUUAGGACGGGGUUUAGAGCUUGUUUAGAGCGGAGCGCCUUCAGUGAAUAAACACCUGAUAGCAACAAGAUCAUCUCCAACCAUGGCUAGCAGGGACCGCGUAUCAACUUAGUAAAUUUUGCCCGUAAUUUAUUUGCAAAUGCGGCUGUCCUCUUCCGAAGAGGACAAAAAGCAGGCAGUAGGUGCUCAGGCAGAAAGAGCUUUAAGAAACUUUAAAGCAACAAUUAAUCUGAAGGGAUAACUUUUUUUCCCCUCCUGUUUCUGCACAGUGGUUGAAGAGAGGUGGCUCGAGGAAUUCGGCUUGUCACAUAAAAGGCGGAAAAAAAAACUCUGCGGAGUUGAGUAAGUGAAUGAUGUAUGAGUCCGAUGGUCCCGUGUAAAGAAAAUACAGCCCUAAGCCGCAGCUACUAAAUCAAAAAGGACUGGAUCACCGCCUGCAUCCCGCAGAAGGGACCUUCAGCGUGCCUUCCCCUGGCAGCCCUGACUUCCAGCUCCUUCUGCUGCCAAGCAGCUUGACAGUGUAUCCCGGGCACUUUCUCCUAAAGUUUGAAAAACCCGGGCAGCGAUGGUGCGCGGUGUUUGGAGGAGAUGACUGUUUUAAAAACAACUCAGAUUUUUACACCGCUCCGCUUCUUUUUCCUUGUCCUUUGCUCCCGUUUAAAGAACUUGUUAUUGUUUAAAGAGACCCCAUUGAACUAUUUCCUGCUCAUUGUCACCUCUCUCCCCCUCGCCCUCUAUCCAGGGAUUCUCACGGAAAGGUAAUAAACUUCCCUCACACCACAGACCGUCGCAGCUCCGGAGAAUGCAAACUAUUAUAACACCGGCCGGCGGGAGUGCUUCAGAGCACCCCUCUUUUCCCUCGUCCCGGCCCUCGUUUUUGUGUCAACUAACUUUAAAAUAAAUUCAUCCCGUUGCAAAGUUUCACCCAUGAGUUUCUCCCCUCUUGCCCGCAGGAACUCGUGGGGCUUUCUCCUUCCUACACGAAACAAAGCCUUUAACUAUCGAUCUGUUUUCAGAAGUACGUGUUUAUUUAGGUGGGAUGGCGGGUGCCUGCCGAUGUGAUUUUCAGAUUUUUAAAGAAUUAUUUAGGUGGGAUGGCUCGAAACCAUCGCUGUCGAGCAUCCCGGCUGCGAAGGCAGGGCCCGUGCUGCUGCUAUGAGGCAAACUCUGCCGCUGUUCUCACGGGCGGCCUCAUGGGCUCGCUAGAUGCGGGGAGUGCCCGUGCCGUGCCAGGUUCGUGGCCAGCCGCUGUACAGCGCCGCUCCAGCUCCUUGGCUGAUUUUCCCCGCAAGGUUUGCCGCUGCCAGCUGCACC